rnacentral:rRNA from 1 species
CGUGUAGGCGGUUCGUUAAGUCGGGUGUGAAAGCCCGGGGCUCAGCUCCGGAAGUGCGUCCGAAACUGGCGAGCUGGAGCGCGGUAGAGGAGGGUGGAAUUCCUGGUGUAGCGGUGAAAUGCGUAGAUAUCAGGAGGAACACCGGCGGCGAAGGCGGCCCUCUGGACCGUUGCUGACGCUGAGACGCGAAAGCGUGGGGAGCAAACAGGAUUAGAUACCCUGGUAGUCCACGCUGUAAACGAUGGGUACUAGGUGUUCGGGGUGUUGACCCCCUGAGUGCCGACGCUAACGCAUUAAGUACCCCGCCUGGGGACUACGGCCGCAAGGUUAAA